rnacentral:lncRNA from 1 species
CUGUGAAUACUAAAUUCUGUUUUGAAAUUUGGCCCUGUUUGCAUUUAUGUAUUUAUCCACAGUAUGGCUACAUCUCAGUCUUGCACCUGAGAUACUGUGGCAUAUGUGACCUUAUGAUCUGAGGUUUCUCAAAUGUCUUUUUAAUUAGUUAUAAUUGCACAACUUGUAGCAGUGUGCAGCCAUGUUGACUUCAUCACAUAUUUUGUCUUCCAUGUGAAUAGUUUUGGUUGCUCUGGUGGCAUGUUGCUUUCCUUCCCUUCUAGUGGCAUGGACCAGCCUUGGUGCUUCGUUUCCACAUCCUCCAGUUGAUCUGUAUGCCACUGCCAUAUUUCUGGUCUUUUUCCUUUUUUAAACUGCUUUUUUCAUACUAUUUUUCUUUUUUAUUUUUUUUCCAGAGCCCCCUGGAGCAUUACAGCCUACCAUUCAGAGCCUGGACAAGAGCUUGGCCUUGCACUUUUACAGAUCGCUGCCUGUAGCGGAGCACAAAGGGAGCGGCGAGACUCCCACGUCUUUCAGCGAGAAGAAAGGAGGCAGCGGAGCAGACUAACGCGGGCUUGCGUCUGGUGGCCUGGCGGUACAAAGGCUGCCUUUAAAAGAGAAGCGCAGCGUUAUUUAAUGAGCUGUGAGAUGAGGAGGCGCUGCUGCUAACGCUCAGAUCCCGGGAUUCAUCGGCUAUUCAUUGUGCUUAAUGUACAUGUUUCUACACCGUGCAUUUAGGAGAUCCCAGAGAAGAAUCCAAAACGGCUG